rnacentral:rRNA from 1 species
GGCGGACGGGUGAGUAAUGUAUGGGGAUCUGCCCGAUAGAGGGGGAUAACUACUGGAAACGGUGGCUAAUACCGCAUAAUCUCUUAGGAGCAAAGCAGGGGACCUUCGGGCCUUGCGCUGUCGGAUGAACCCAUAUGGGAUUAGCUAGUAGGUAAGGUAAUGGCUUACCUAGGCGACGAUCCCUAGCUGGUCUGAGAGGAUGAUCAGCCACACUGGGACUGAGACACGGCCCAGACUCCUACGGGAGGCAGCAGUGGGGAAUAUUGCACAAUGGGCGCAAGCCUGAUGCAGCCAUGCCGCGUGUAUGAAGAAGGCCCUAGGG